UUUUUUUUUGCUUUUGUC
rnacentral:sRNA from 1 species